AUUUUUACUGGGUGCAACCACUUGGUGAGGGCCCGGAAAUUUGUGUUAAAUCUUAAUGCUAUUGUGAGAAAACAUAUGUUGAAACCAUCAAGAAUAAUGGUUUUCUAGAAAGCAAGAUGCGCCAGAUGGAUUUCUUAUUUGUAUCCUCUGUACAGGGUGCAUCCACUUGGUUAAGGCCGAGAAAUUUGUGUUAAAUCCUGAUGCUAUUGUGAGGAAACAUAUGUUGAAACCAUCAAGAAUAAUGGAUUUCUAGAAAGGAAGAUGUACCAGAUGGAUUUCUUAUUUGUAUCAUCGGUACAGGUUUCAUCCACUUGGUG